CAUGAGGCCUGAGGUUCCCUCCCAGCACUAGAGUGGGGAAAAAUCAAGUUAGAGGGACCUAAGACAAUAUCUAUAAGGGUGAAGGACCCUGGCUGGGAACCGUUUUGUGAUGGCAUCUUUCACCACAGAAAUUAAGACCCCUGACAGUGGCUGCAGGCCUCUCCUAAGCUAAAACAUACACAGGUACAACUGGCCCUGCCAAACAUAUCUGAACAGUUGUAGAAUUAGGGGCUGGAGAUGGCUCAGCAGUUAAGAGCGGUUGGGUGUAGCCUGGUUACACUUCUGAGACCCACACAGUGGCUGGAAUCUAACCCCAGCCCCAGGGGAUCCAGCACUCUUUUAAGGCAUCUUAGGACACGUGGUACUCAGCCAUACAUGCGGAAAAAGCACCCAUACAUGAGUUGCAGACUGGCCUGGAGAAAUGGCACAGUCAUGGAGCACCUAUUGCUCUUGUAGACAGUAGCUCACAACAACUGCCUGUAACUGGCGGCACCCAACACCCUCUUCUGGCUGGUCAGACACAUAAUAGAGACUACAGCUUUUUAAGCUGCAGGUUGAACUAGAGAAAUGGCUUAGUUAAAAGGUUCCUAGCACCCACAUGGCAGCCAGCAACCAUCUGACCCUCUGACUCUGGAGGAACUAGUGCCUUCUGACCUUCAUGGGUAACAGGCACACAUGAAAGGUCAUAUGGAGGCAAACAUUCAUUAAAAAGAUUUUUUU
rnacentral:lncRNA from 1 species